rnacentral:piRNA from 1 species
CAAAAUGAAAUACCUGGGAGGCUGAAG